rnacentral:rRNA from 1 species
UAUCUCUGUAGAGUCUGCAUAUCAAUAAGCGGAGGAAAAGAAACUAACAAGGAUUCCCUUAGUAACGACGAGUGAAGCGGGAAGAGCUCAAAUUUGAAAUCUUCAAGGUUUUACCUUGACGAAUUGUAGUUUAAAGAAGUGUUUUCUGUUGAAGUUUCGGUAAAAGUUCUUUGGAAUAGGACAUCAUAGAGGGUGAGAAUCCCGUAUUUGACCGUUAUUUUCAGCUGUGUGAUACACUUUCAAAGAGUCGGAUUGUUUGGGAAUGCAGUCCAAAAUGGGUGGUAAAUUUCAUCUAAAGCUAAAUAUUGGCGAGAGACCGAUAGCGAACAAGUACCGUGAGGGAAAGAUGAAAAGAACUUUGAAAAGAGAGUUAAACAGUACGUGAAAUUGUCAAAGGGGAAGCGUUUGACACCAGUGUUGUUUUCUCGAAAAUCAAUUAAAAAUGGCUUGAUUUUGUGUUGUAUUGACUUUAUCAGCUUUCUGCACUUUUUUCUUGUCUUUUUUAAUGCACUUUUCGUUUAACAAGUCAACAUCAAUUUCUUUUGUUGUAAAAGGGUCAUUGGAAGGUGGCUUUCUUUUCGGAGAAAGUGUUUAUAGCCUUUGACUUCUGCAAUCGGAGAGAUUGAGGUCUGCAGCGUAGAUCCUUCUGGAUUAGAUUCAUUUGUGCUAAGUUAUAGCCUUUUCAUAGACAACAUUGUUGACUAUAUUCAGUCAUGUAACUUACUCGCUUAUGUAAUUUUACCUACGCUUAGGAUGUUGAACGCGCACAGAGUCUC